rnacentral:rRNA from 1 species
CAGCCGCCGCGGUAAUACGUAGGGCGCAAGCGUUAUCCGGAAUUAUUGGGCGUAAAGAGCUCGUAGGCGGUUUGUCGCGUCUGCCGUGAAAGUCCGGGGCUCAACCCCGGAUCUGCGGUGGGUACGGGCAGACUAGAGUGAUGUAGGGGAGACUGGAAUUCCUGGUGUAGCGGUGAAAUGCGCAGAUAUCAGGAGGAACACCGAUGGCGAAGGCAGGUCUCUGGGCAUUAACUGACGCUGAGGAGCGAAAGCAUGGGGAGCGAACAGGAUUAGAUACCCGCGUAGUCCCUGUCUCUUAUAC